rnacentral:rRNA from 1 species
UACAGAGGGUGCAAGCGUUUAAUCGGAAUUACUGGGCGUAAAGCGUGCGUAGACGGUUAUGUAAGUCAGGUGUGAAAGCCCAGGGCUCAACCUUGGAAUUGCAUUUGAGACUGCAUAGCUAGGGUGCGGAAGAGGGAAGCGGAAUUUCCGGUGUAGCGGUGAAAUGCGUAGAUAUCGGAAGGAACACCAGUGGCGAAAGCGGCUUCCUGGUCCAGCACCGACGUUCAGGCACGAAAGCGUGGGGAGCAAACAGG